CAAUAUAUGGUGUAAUUGAUAACAUAUUCAUAUUGGGAAUGAAAGAUGUUGGUUUAAGUCCAAUUAUUUUGA
rfam:Theileria parva strain Muguga apicoplast, complete genome, whole genome shotgun sequence.